rnacentral:tRNA from 1 species
UCCCUGGUGGUCCAGUGGUUAAGACACCACAUGUCCACUGUAGAGGGCACAGGUUCAAUCCCUGGUCAAGGAA